AGUAAGGGAAAUCAGAAACUUUUAGGAUGGUGUGUUUUACAUGCUUGAAGAUAAUGAUCAAGUGUUCUCUUGUUUGUACUGAGUAGGGUCACAAAAUUAAACUCAAGUUACUAACAAGUCAUACAAAAAUUAUUGAAUUACUUUUGAAAUUGAAGAACCUUGAAAUAGAAUGUUAGGAAGUUGAAAAUAAUGUUGCAAAAGUGAU